rnacentral:rRNA from 1 species
AACGCGAAGAACCUUACCUGGGCUAGAAGUGUAGAGGAAUAUAUCAGAGAUGAUAUAGCUCGCAAGGGCCUUUACAUAGGUGCUGCAUGGCUGUCGUCAGCUCGUGCCGUGAGGUGUUUGGUUAAGUCCAGCAACGAGCGCAACCCUUAUCGUUAGUUGCCAGCGCGUAAUGGCGGGAACUCUAACGAGACUGCCUGGGUUAACCAGGAGGAAGGUGAGGAUGACGUCAAGUCCGCAUGGCCUUUAUGUCCAGGGCUACACACGUGCUACAAUGGUCGGUACAGAAGGCUGCGAAACCGUAAGGCGGAGCAAAUCCUAUAAAACCGAUCUCAGUUCAGAUUGUAGUCUGCAACUCGACUACAUGAAGUUGGAAUUGCUAGUAAUGGCGUGUCAGCAACAACGCCGUGAAUACGUUCCCGGGCCUUGUA